AUUGAACGCUGGCGGCAGGCCUAACACAUGCAAGUCGAGCGAGCGGCGCACGGGUGUGUAAUGUAUGGGGACUGCCCGCUAGAGGGGGGUAACUCCUGGAAACGGUAGCUAUUACCCCAUACUCUCGCCUAAUCCAUAUGGGAUUAGCUAGUAGGUGAGGUAAUGGCUCACCUAGGCGACGCGCCCUAGCUGGUCUGUGAGGAUGAUCAGCCACACGGGGACUGAGACACGGCCCAGACUCCUACGGAGGCAGCAGUGGGGAAUAUUGCACAAUGGGCGCAAGCCUGAUGCAGCCAUGCCGCGUGUAGGAAGAAGGCCCUAGGGUUGUAAAGUACUUUCAGUCGGGAGGCGUUACCGACAGAAGAAGCACCGGCUAACUCCGUGCCAGCCGCCGCGGUAAUUC
rnacentral:rRNA from 1 species